rnacentral:lncRNA from 1 species
UCUCAGCAGAGUGGCUACAAACUUUAGCCCUGCCCUGAUGAGAUUCCUGGGCAUUUGGUCACGGAUGUUGACAGUGUGCCUUUUACUAACGACUUCAUUCUGGCAGACAGCCUACUGCCUAAAUGUCCAACCUGUGACCAGGCCUCCCUUCCACAAGAAGCUUGUUGAUACUGGCAGACACCCUGUGGCUCUUGCCUGACCUGUGUGCAGUUUAUUCCUACCAGGAUGGCCGAUCUCUAGGAGAGUCUUGACGGAGAAAGAAGCUGGGUUCAGAUGCAGCUGGAGAGCCUGGGGUGAGAACAUGAGCAGUCUAUAAUCAGAAAAUCCCUUUGGGAUAAAUUGACAAAAAUAUAAACCACUCCACAAAGGAGAAAUUGUAAAUGAAAAUGACAUGAGAAGGAAGAAGAUCACUUCAGAGAGCCUGCAGCUCAGAACAGUGGGAACAUCAAAGGUUCCCCAUGUGUCAUUUCAUCUGAUCUUCAUGUUGUAAGGGCAAAAGAAACAAUCAAUAAACAGAUAAUCUACAGAAUGGUAAAAAAUAUUUGUGAGCUAUGCAUUUGACCAAAGGCUAAUAUCCAGAAUCUACAAGGAAUUCAGACAACUCAACAAGGCAAAAACAACCCCAUUAAAAAGUGGGGGAAAGACAUGAAAAGACAUUUUUUCAAAAGAAGACAUACAAAUGGUCAAGAAAAAUAUAAGCAAAUUCUCAACAUCACUAAUCAUCAGAUAAAUGCAAAUUAAAACCACAAGAAUAUACCAUCUUACACCAGAGAAAAUGCCUAUUAUUAAAAAGUCUAAAAACAACAGAUGUUGGUGAGGAUGCAAGAAAAAGGGAACACAUAUACAUUGUUUUUGGAAAUGUAAAUUAGUUCAACCUUUCUGAACAACAGUACAGAGAUUUCUCAGAGAACUAAAAAAAGAACUACCAUUCAAUCUAGCAAUCUGACUACUGGGUAUCUACCCAAAGGGAAAUAAAUCAUUACAUCCAAAAGACACCUGCACUCCUGUGUUUAUCACAACACUAUUCACAAUAGCAAACAUAUGGAAUCAAACUAAGAGUCCAUUAACAGACGACUGCAUAAAGAAGAUGUGGCAUAUAUAUUCCUUGUAAUACUACGUGAACAUAAAAAGAAUAAAAUCGGCUGAUUGCAGUGGCUCACACCUGUAAUCCCAGCACUUUGGGAGGCUGAGGCGGGUGGAUCAUGAAGU